GCCAGACGUGGUGGUGUGUGCCUAUAGUUCCAGCUACUGGAGGCUGAGAUGGGAGGAUCACUUGAGUCCAGGAGUUCUAGGCUGUAGCGCACUAUGCCAUUCGGGUGUCCACACUAAGUUUGGUAUCAGUAUGGUGACUUCCCAGGAGUGGGGUGGGGGGGCCACCAGGUUGCCUAAGGAGGGGUGAAUCAGCCCAGGUCAGAAACAGAGCAGGUCAAAACUCCUUUGCUGAUCAGUAGUGGGAUGGCGCCUGUGAAUAGCCACAACACUUCAGCCUGGGCAAUAUAGCAAGACCCUAUCUCUU
rfam:Otolemur garnettii contig032611, whole genome shotgun sequence.